AGUAAUUUUCAGUGUAAUUUCCUGCAAAUUAUAGUCUGCAUGUAGAUUAUUUGGAGAGUUAAACACCAAUUCCUUGUUGUAUAUUUGGUGGACAGAGUGACAGUCAUAAUUUGAAAUAUAUGGGCAUCGAUGCCCUUGGUCGACUAAUAAAGAUUAGUCCAGAGAUAGCAGAGCAAUAAAUAUAUGGGCACUGAUUGCUUAGAGGACCCAGAUGAUAUUCUGAAGCGAAAAACAUUU